CCUACGGGCGGCAGCAGUGGGGAAUAUUGCACAAUGGGGGAAACCCUGAUGCAGCGAUGCCGCGUGGAGGAAGAAGGUUUUCGGAUUGUAAACUCCUUUUAUCAGGGACGAUCGUGACGGUACCUGAAGAGAAAGCUCCGGCUAACUACGUGACAGCAGCCGCGGUACUACGUAGGGAGCGGGCGUUGUCCGGAAUUACUGGGUGUAAAGGGAGCGUAGGCGGGACGGCAAUGCAGAUGUGAAAACGGAGGGCAUAACUUUCAGACUGCAUUUGAAACUGCUGUUCUUGAGUGAAGGAGAGGAGAGCGGAAUUCCAUGUGUAGCGGUGAAAUGCGUAGAUAUUAGGAGGAACACCGGUGGCGAAGGCGGCUUACUGGGCUGUUACUGACGCUGAGGCUCGAAAGCGUGGGGAGCAAACAGGAUUAGAUACCAUGGUAGUC
rnacentral:rRNA from 1 species